CGACACAAGAAUGGCAGCUCAAUCCGAAGUUCCCUAUUCCGAGUAUUUGGUUUUUUCUGCAUCCAAUCGAACCAUCCUAGAAUCAUCCAAUUUUUUUGAGAAAGAUGAAGCGACUGUCAAGACAAUAUGUAGGCUACUUCAGGAUACCAACGCAAUUAUUCAAAAGCUACCUACGAAAGACUCAUUUGUCAAGUUAACCAUAUUUGUCGAUCAUAGUGCCUAUAUUGUGCUCAUGCAUCGAGACAAAAUAUAUGUAUAUUAUAAGCACUAAAAAAACAGCUGGC